AAAACUUCUUUGUUGGUCAACAUUGAAUUUCAGAAAAUAACAAUUCAUAGGGUAUUAGAUUUAAUUAAUUGUUUGAAAGUUCGAAUUGUCUUUAACUCUAAUUUGAAGGGAAUGAGAUGCAUCCUUGUCCUUUUUUUAUUAUUGAAUUAUUUAUAUUAUGGAAUGGUAGCUUGUAGUUCCUUUCCACUUAAAUCCACUCUGUCCAAUUCUACUCUCUUUCUAGCCUAUUUAAUUUGGUGAGUCAUCUAACUGGUUGUGCUAUAAAUUAGUGUCUCCCCGCUAAAAUCGAUUGUGACAUUGUUAAAAUCUCUACAUUUUGUUGAGUUUCUGCAUCUCCUGUCUCUAGUAAUCUUUCUAUUGCUGAUCAAUCUUAUAGCCGCCAAGAUGGUUGGGAUACUUUCAACUUUAUAUAAUUAGCAACACGGGUUGUUUUGUUUUAGUCAGUGCAACUGCAACAUAAGCUCGAGUCAUUCAUCACAAGGCCUUUCUAUUCUAUUCUUGAAGACUGGAAGUUAAUUUUAGCUGUUGUACUUCGAUCUGUGCCUGACAAGUUGACUCUAAGCUGCAAUGGGUGGUGUUUGGUGGUGGAAACUGCUUUUUGCUGCUCUUGCUGUGACUCUCUUGUCUGCUGAAUAUUGUGCUUCCCAGAAAGGUACAACUGACAAAAUCUUUAAUUUUCUUGCUAUCCCUUGUUCAUUGCUUUGUUUGGAUUUGUGUUGGUUAAAUGUGAAAACACAUUCCGAUCACUCAAUAAAAUCAAUGCGUUCAAUUUGGUGAAUGUGCAUUGGAAAUCGUGAUUCUGAUUUAUUGAAUGUUAUUUUAAAAUGAAAAUUAAAUAGAUACAGACAUAUUGCAAUAGAUUAGAUAGCUUGCUUAAACAAGAAACAUAUUGUGUUUAAUUUUGAUGGAAUUAUUAGGUCACUAAUUAGUAAAUAAUUUUAAUUAUCUGCUUUCAGGUAAUUUGUUGUUUAUGAUUUUAAUUUUGUAUAAAAUUAUUUAACACUUUAUAAUCUAAAUUUAUUGUCAUUUCUUCAAGUUG
rnacentral:lncRNA from 1 species